rnacentral:rRNA from 1 species
AGCGAACGCUGGCGGCAGGCCUAACACAUGCAAGUCGAACGAACCUUUCGGGGUUAGUGGCGGACGGGUGAGUAACACGUGGGAACGUGCCUUUAGGUUCGGAAUAACUCAGGGAAACUUGUGCUAAUACCGAAUGUGCCCUUCGGGGGAAAGAUUAAUCGCCUUUAGAGCGGCCCGCGUCUGAUUAGCUAGUUGGUUGAGGUAAUGGCUCACCAAGGCGACGAUCAGUAGCUGGUCUGAGAGGAUGAUCAGCCACAUUGGGACUGAGACACGGCCCAAACUCCUACGGGAGGCAGCAGUGGGGAAUCCUGCGCAAUGGGCGAAAGCCUGACGCAGCCAUGCCGCGUGAAUGAUGAAGGUCUUAGGAAUGUAAAAUUCUUUCACCGGGGACGAUAAUGACGGUACCCGGAGAAGAAGCCCCGGCUAACUUCGUG